UGUGGCCUCCAGUCCUAUUUCCACCCUGAAGGAUAUGUUUAUUCGUUCCUUAAGUUUCUUUGCACUUUCUUCUUCGCCCUUUUACAACCGGCUGUUACUCUCUUUAAAGUUGCGACUUUACUGAAUUUAAGUUCUUUUUACUAUAUAAACUCUAUUUGGGCCACAACUUAUUUAUGAGUUAUAUGAAAAAUUUGGUUCAUCCUUCUUAUUCUACGACUCUCCCUGUAAGUAGAAUCAAGAAGAUUAUGAAAAGGGAUGUCCACGCUCCUUUAGUUUCGCAGGAAGGCUGCUUUGUUAUAGCCAAGUCCGUGGAGUGUUUUGUGGCGUACCUUGCUACGGAAGGAUACGAGCGCGCCCAGUGCGAUAAACGGAAAACUGUUCAAUAUAAUGAUUUAGCUACUUGUGUAUUUGAAGAUAGCUCGCUUGCGUUUUUGGACGAAGCACUUCCUUUUCGCCAAACUUCUGCCUUUAAAAGAAGAAGCACUUCUCGUUCAAACGUUUCUAAGAAAGGCAAAGAAGAAGAGAGUGAAGGAGAUUUUGAUGAAGGAAGAAAUGUUACGCUUGAAGAUUUAUAGUCUUUAGUAUUUAAAUUCGAUUGGCACAUGUUAUUUUUUAAGA